UACGUAGGCAGCGAGCGUUGUUCGGAAUUACUGGGCGUAAAGAGUGUGUAGGCGGCGCUCUAAGUUCGGUGUGAAAUCUCUCGGCUUAACUGGGAGGGUGCGCCGGAAACUGGAGUGCUCGAACGUGGGAGAGGAAAGCGGAAUUCCUGGUGUAGCGGUGAAAUGCGUAGAUAUCAGGAGGAACACCGGUGGCGAAAGCGCUUGUCUGGCCCAAUACUGACGCUGAGGCGCGAAAGCUAGGGGAGCAAACGGG
rnacentral:rRNA from 1 species